GUUAAUAUAUAAAUUCAGGGCUCGCAAAAUCGCUAGUCCGACGUCCCGGGGCUAUUGUGUUUUCCAGUCUGGCUACCAAAAUGUUUCACCACCCUGCCCGAUGGGC